GAGCGGCGGACGGGUGAGUAAUGUCUGGGAAACUGCCUGAUGGAGGGGGAUAACUACUGGAAACGGUAGCUAAUACCGCAUAACGUCGCAAGACCAAAGUGGGGGACCUUCGGGCCUCAUGCCAUCAGAUGUGCCCAGAUGGGAUUAGCUAGUAGGUGGGGUAACGGCUCACCUAGGCGACGAUCCCUAGCUGGUCUGAGAGGAUGACCAGCCACACUGGAACUGAGACACGGUCCAGACUCCUACGGGAGGCAGCAGUGGGGAAUAUUGCACAAUGGGCGCAAGCCUGAUGCAGCCAUGCCGCGUGUAUGAAGAAGGCCUUCGGGUUGUAAAGUACUUUCAGCGGGGAGGAAGGCGAUAAGGUUAAUAACCUUGUCGAUUGACGUUACCCGCAGAAGAAGCACCGGCUAACUCCGUGCCAGCAGCCGCGGUAAUACGGAGGGUGCAAGCGUUAAUCGGAAUUACUGGGCGUAAAGCGCACGCAGGCGGUCUGUCAAGUCGGAUGUGAAAUCCCCGGGCUCAACCUGGGAACUGCAUUCGAAACUGGCAGGCUAGAGUCUUGUAGAGGGGGGUAGAAUUCCAGGUGUAGCGGUGAAAUGCGUAGAGAUCUGGAGGAAUACCGGUGGCGAAGGCGGCCCCCUGGACAAAGACUGACGCUCAGGUGCGAAAGCGUGGGGAGCAAACAGGAUUAGAU
rnacentral:rRNA from 1 species